GCAAGUCGAACGAGAACGGAUUUAAGCUUGCUUAAAUUGUCAGCUAAGUGGCGCACGGGUGAGUAAUGUAUAGAUAACGUGCCUCGUACAAGGGAAUAAUUGAUGGAAACGUCUUGUAAUGCACUAUAUGCCUUUAUGACAAAAGUCAGCAAGGGAAAUAUUUAUAGCUUCGAGAUCGGUCUGUAUGGUAGCAGAGAGUUGGUGAGGUAAUGGCUCACCAAGUCUAUGACACCUAGCUGGUUUGAGAGGAUGAUC
rnacentral:rRNA from 1 species